GUUCCGGUGGCUUAAGUGGUUAGAGCGUCCGCCUCAGAUGCAAAAGGUUGCGGGUUCGAGCCCCGGCUGACUCUACCAGUGCA